UACACUCCCAGAAGAAAAGCCAUUGUUCACUA
rnacentral:piRNA from 1 species